rnacentral:lncRNA from 1 species
AUUUCAAUUACUGAUCGAUUUUUCAAACAAACCCUAAGAAAAACAUGACACUAACCCUUGAAAAGAAAAUGAAAAAGAAUAGCAAACUACAUAAAUAAUCCCUUUAAAUUGUCCACAACGAUCAGAUAAAACUUUAAAUUAUCCAAAACGAUCAGACAAACACCUCAACUGACCCCUUUAUUAUUUAGACACUUAAAAUGUGUAUUAAGCGUAUCAAAUUAAACACAUAUUACUGAUGUGGUAUAUGCGUAUUUACUCAUAAAAGUUUGAGCGCGUGAAUCAGUUUUUCAGCCUAAUCUUUUUCCUUUGAAAAAAACUAAGAAUCAGUCGUAGCUUGGCCUCUUUUCUUCGCUUGACUAAAUCACGUCGACGUCUCAACAGCAACCCACAAUGAAAUUACCAUAGAGACCAUGAAUAUCAUCCACUAAAACUCCAACCAAGACACCAUAAAUCACCAAAAGCUGCCCCUUUCAUCACAAAAUUCCAUUUUUCGUAACCUCCAAAGCUCCGCGUAAUUCUUUCGAAUCAAAACUAAUCCCAAACCCAACUGAAAUAAGCAACAAAAAUUAUAGCAACAACAAUUGCGAAAAAACACAAAAUCUUCACUAGAUAAACACCUCCUUUAAUCCAUCAACACCUUCAUUGCAAUAGAAAUACAUAAACAACAACCAAUUAUUUGACUCGAACGAUAAUACUAAGGAUAAUUUUACAUCAUAAAUAAUUACAGAAGUAAAAGUGACAUAAGCCCAGACUCAAAGUCAAGGAAUUGAUGAAGAUAGAAGAGUGAUGAUUCUAGUUGAAUUGUUUUGUUCAUAUUUGCUUGGAGAUCAAUUUUCGGCGAAAUAGGUCGCAUGAGAGGAGCUUUUCCCGGCAUGGUCUAUCAUUGAUCCCUUUGUGGGAAGGGGAAGGGGUCAGAUAGGAAGGACUUGUUUUUAAUUUGUUGGGUGGAGGGCAAAUUUAGGGGGAAAGGAAUAGAGGAUGCAGAAGAUGGACAGAAGGAAGAAGAUGAAGAGGGUGGGGGUGGCGUUGGUUUUUUAUGGAAGAAGGAGAUGAAGUUGGGGGAAUGGGGGAGGGAUGGAAGAUGGCGUUGGUUUGGUAAAAAGAUGAGGGAAAGGGAUUUUUUCUUCCUAGAUGCAUUUUAUUUUUUGUUAAUUAUAUGUCUUAAUUCUAUUAUAAAUUGCACGUUUUAUUCAUUAAUUGACCCUAUUGACAUGUAAUUGGCAAGUAUAACUCACUCAUAUAAUUUAUUGUACGCAGAUAUUUACUUAAUAUUCUUAGUAGACAUUUGAAGUGUCUAAAUAAUAAAGGGACAGUUUAGGUGUCUGGAUAAUCACUGUGGAUAACUUAAAUGCACCAUUUAUGUAUUUUGCCAAAAAUAAACCAUGUAAUUGUAAAAAUAUUUUAGAAAAAAAUCAUGUAAUGGGAAAUAAGUUAUACUCAUACCAAUUUUUA